UAGGGAAUCUUCGGCAAUGGACGGAAGUCUGACCGAGCAACGCCGCGUGAGUGAAGAAGGUUUUCGGAUCGUAAAGCUCUGUUGUAAGAGAAGAACGAGUGUGAGAGUGGAAAGUUCACACUGUGACGGUAUCUUACCAGAAAGGGACGGCUAACUACGUGCCAGCAGCCGCGGUAAUACGUAGGUCCCGAGCGUUAUCCGGAUUUAUUGGGCGUAAAGCGAGCGCAGGCGGUUAGAUAAGUCUGAAGUUAAAGGCUGUGGCUUAACCAUAGUACGCUUUGGAAACUGUUUAACUUGAGUGCAAGAGGGGAGAGUGGAAUUCCAUGUGUAGCGGUGAAAUGCGUAGAUAUAUGGAGGAACACCGGUGGCGAAAGCGGCUCUCUGGCUUGUAACUGACGCUGAGGCUCGAAAGCGUGGGGAGCAAACAGGAUUAGAUACCCUGGUAGUCCACGCCGUAAACGAUGAGUGCUAGGUGUUAGACCCUUUCCGGGGUUUAGUGCCGUAGCUAACGCAUUAAGCACUCCGCCUGGGGAGUACGACCGCAAGGUU
rnacentral:rRNA from 1 species